UACAGGGGGUGCAAACGUUGCUCGGAAUCAUUGGGCGUAAAGCGCACGUAGGCGGUUCGUUAUGUCGGAUGUGAAAGCCCUUGGCUUAACCGAGGAAGUGCAUCCGAAACUGGCGAGCUAGAGUACUAAAGAGGAUCGCGGAAUUCCCGGUGUAGAGGUGAAAUUCGUAGAUAUCGGGAGGAACACCGGUGGCGAAGGCGGCGAUCUGGGUGAGAUACUGACGCUGAGGUGCGAAAGCGUGGGGAGCAAACAGG
rnacentral:rRNA from 1 species